rnacentral:misc_RNA from 1 species
ACACACAAGAGAGAGAAUACCCUGUCCUCAUCUGUCCGCUCGGCUGCGCUGAUACUUCGGUUGAGUUCCUGCCGCAUCGCUCCUGCCCUGCCUCCUUUUCCAUUCUCUCUCGCGCUACUUUCCAUGUUCAGCUCGCGCCGUGCUGCACAGCGCCUCUGCGGUGGCUGCGCGCUUGCACAGGGGUGUUUGCCAGCCGCUGCGUUGCAUCCAUCAUGCCCGUUGUUGCUGCGCGCCAAGACUCUGGCUGGUGUGACGCCGCAGCAUUCUGCGGCGUCGCUUCAUGGCAGAGACGGCGCCGGGGACGACUCUGGUGCUGGCGCCGCUGGUCGUGGGUGUCAUCGCGCUGUGGGCGGCGACCGGGAUGCGGACACACAACGCAACAACGCGCACGGUGCCCUUGUCGAAGGGGGCGCGUCGACGUACCCGGUGUCUGUUGCGCAUGCGCACACUGCGGCGAGCCAGGCUACCGCCGCCCUGAAGUCGCUGCUAGGGCACUCCCGGCUGUCGUCGUCCGCCGUUGCGGCGGACACUGACGGUGCUGACCGGUUCUCCAAUGUGGAAGCGCCGGCAACUUAUGAGCGCAUUCCUGAUGCGGACACGGUAGGUCCUGACGUGGCCGGGUCAGCUGACGGCGAUGCCGUGGAAGGAGAUGGCGUGUCGAACGGUGAGGAGGAGCUGCUGGAGUGCGCUGAGGCCUUUGCGGAUGAGGUGGAGGCGAUGGGGGUGGAGAGGGCUGCCACUGUAACCGCUUCGAAGGCGGCACCCCCGUUACACGGGGCUGCAUCUCAGAAGCAGAACAGCACAGAGAGAGAGCAACCUGCAAAGCCUGUUGCUACGCCGUACAGUGCAGGAGAGCCGUUGAACCUGCGAGGUGUACGGUAUUGGGGCAGCAUCGCGUCGGCCAUGCGGAGCACAGCGGAGGCACGUCGCUUUCUCUCGCCCUUCUGGGCGUCGCGGAGAGCCUUCGAGGAUGCCGGCGCGACCGUGACGGUGGAGGAGGAGGAAGGGGUCCUGGUGUGCACCACCACGUCGGUGGUGGUGCGCUUGUUCAACCUGGAGCAGACGACCUUGGCCGCGGAGUACCGCGCCGCUACUGUGACCGAGGUCAUCGUGCGUCUGCGUCUGGCGAGAGAUCGCGAUGGUACCUCGUCGUUCCGGAGGGGCUUCGAUGCCAAUGCGAAGCUGCUCGACCUCGCCGGCGGUCAUUUUUCUUUUGCGCUCGCCACGUCCAUUGCUGCCUCACCGCACUUUCCCCGCCUACGAGCGCAAAGCCCAUACUGGCUUUCCGAGCGUGAUGUGCAGGCGAUUGGCGCAACAGUGCGGCCCGAGGAGGUGGGGUGCUGCACGCUGGUGCCACUCUCGUCGUCUGAGCCUUGGUGGCAGAGCCCGGCGGCAACGGCUGCCGACGCAGAGCUCUCGUACGACGCGCGCGCCGGCGCGGCUGCCACCUCGGUGCCGGGUGAGGAGGCCUCCACUGACACUGCGCGCAGCAUCGUGCGUUACUAUAACGUUGCCCAGCUGGACGACCGUGAGAGGUUUGCGCGGUUGAACCCGCUUAGGGACAGGCUGGUGCGCUGCCUGAACUACCGCGGCAGCCGCUACAACCCUUGCACCACCUGGCUCAUGUGGGAGUACUGCGCUCGCUACCACUUCCCGCUGACGGACACGCCCGGAAUCGUCUUUCUCACGAUGGAGAAGAUAUUUCAACUCGGUGGGAGAGUUGUGCAGACUAAGCGCUACCCCAUCCCGCGCACGCACGCAGGCCGAGGGGAUGGCACCGCCGCUGGCAGCAGAGGGAGUAGCAUCCGCAGCGCCGCUUCUGCGAGUGUGAGCAUGACACCACCAUCCUCCUCUGCCGCCACCCCUGAUUUUGAGAAGCUCGGAGCGAUCCGCCACGGGGAGCUGGGUGUGGUGCCAGCGUGUUGCAGCGAGGACACCAGCACGUGUAACGGACACGGCGCCCGAGGCGGUACCGAUGGCACGAGCUCCACAGCGGCCGACGUCGGAGUUGUCCCGCCACUGUUCACGAUGGUGAUCCAUAACGAGGUAGUGAGCCUGUGCAACGCAAUGCAGACCGACAUCGCCGAUGUUGUUCUCGCUCGUGCCGGCGAGUUGCGUAAGUCCCGGUACUGGAAGCGGUGGGUGUAACCCUAGUCCGCGUGCUGCAGCCACAUACUGCUUCGUUGCUGUGAUGACGCGCGCGAGCACGUAUGCUUGUGCGUGUGCGCGCGCGCAGAUGUGCACCCUCUCCCUCUAGGUGCUACUCCAUCCAUCCCUUCCCACCUGACACGAGCAGAGAGCAAGCUUGCACGGUUGUAGACACCACCACCAGUACCCACGCCCCUAUAGAGAAGGGGAGGAGGGAGGGGGAGUGACCGGUUUUGCUGAUGGUAAGGCGGGCUACCGCGUGAGGUGCCCCCUUCCGUCAUUCUCUUCCUUCCCUUCCCACGACCAGAGCCGCUUUCCUUCCCGUCAAGCUCUCCUUCAGGCGCUCCCGCGCGACACACACACACACACAUACACAGCCAGGCAUGCACCUCUCUCAGACGUCAAGGGGGGGGGCGAAGUGGGGUGGGGGCGGCGCUCGAUUUGCCGAACAGAGAAAAAGAAGUGGGCACAAAGGCGAGAGGGCGAUGGGUGAUGGACGUCGAAGCGAGACCUGAGGGAGACACGUGGCGCAUACACUCUCUCACACGUGCACACACGCCCAUACGUACUCGUCCGGCGUGAAAAACAAACAACAAAGAGGGUGGGUGGUGGUGGUGGUGGUGGACACCCUCUAUGGACAACCGGCAUAGCGCGUGUUUUGCGUGCACGGGUGCUCUCCACCGCGUCUAGCUUUUUUUUUUCGUUUUCUUGUUUUGCGCCCGGCCAACAGGUGGUGGCACCUGUCGAGCCACGACUUUACCUUAUCCACUGCUGCUACGUAAAGGCACCAACCGCUAUACUACCUACACUUACACCUACACGAGAGGUGUACAGAGCAGAAACGUAUAUCUAUAUAGGUGUGUGUGUGUGCCGGUGACGUCAUAUGCACCUUGUGCCUUCCUGGCGAGACGUUCUCUUGCCGAAGAUUUCGGAUGUCCGAUCUGUCGGUGAUGCGCUGCCGCUCCUCCACUCACACCCUCUUUUCUCUGUCGCUCUCCUUCGCUGUGCUCGUGCAUGCCUGCUGACGAUAACGGGGACGAUGUACCCACUUGACACGCAGCGGCCUUGCUACUCGUGUUCGCCCUACUUCGCUCGUUGGCUUCGUGUCUGUCUCAUCCGCUGCUCCGCCUCCCUUCCCUCUCCCCCUCUGCCUUUGCGUUGUGAUGGUUGACUGGUUGGUUGGUUGCCUUCUCUGCUCGAGUGACGUGGCGCCACCCCCCUCCUCCUCCCUCUGUCUCUGUCUCUGUCUCUGUCUCCGUCUCUCCCUCCCUCGCGCACCGUUUACGCCUAUUCGCUGCAUCGGCGUUCCUCGAUGCAUCUGCGCGCGCCUCCAUCCAUCCGGAGGGCUCUACGGUGAAG